UACGUAGGGGGCAAGCGUUGUCCGGAUUUAUUGGGCGUAAAGAGCGUGUAGGCGGCUUUACAGGUCCGUUGUGAAAACUCGAGGCUCAACCUCGAGACGCCGGUGGAAACCGUAAGGCUAGAGUCCGGAAGAGGAGAGUGGAAUUCCUGGUGUAGCGGUGAAAUGCGCAGAUAUCAGGAGGAACACCCGUGGCGAAAGCGGCUCUCUGGGACGGUGACUGACGCUGAGGCGCGAAAGCGUGGGGAGCAAACGGG
rnacentral:rRNA from 1 species